UACGUAGGCAGCGAGCGUUGUUCGGAGUUAUUGGGCGUAAAGCGCGUGUAGGCGGCUUUGCAAGUCGGGUGUGAAAGCCCUCAGCUCAACUGAGGAAGUGCGCCCGAAACUGCAGAGCUUGAAUACCGGAGAGGAUGGCGGAAUUCCCCAAGUAGAGGUGAAAUUCGUAGAUAUGGGGAGGAACACCGGUGGCGAAGGCGGCCAUCUGGACGGCUAUUGACGCUGAGACGCGAAAGCGUGGGGAGCAAACAGG
rnacentral:rRNA from 1 species